rnacentral:rRNA from 1 species
UACGUAGGCAGCGAGCGUUGUUCGGAGUUACUGGGCGUAAAGAGUGCGUAGGCGGUUUUCUAAGUUUGGUGUGAAAUCUCCCGGCUUAACUGGGAGGGUGCGCCGAAAACUGGAAGGCUAGAGUAUGGGAGAGGUAAGCGGAAUUCCUGGUGUAGCGGUGAAAUGCGUAGAUAUCAGGAGGAACACCUGCGGUGUAGACGGCUUACUGGACCAUAACUGACGCUGAGGCACGAAAGCGUGGGUAGCAAACAGG